rfam:Buceros rhinoceros silvestris contig107184, whole genome shotgun sequence.
ACUCCCGUUCUUGGCAGGCCCCGGCCACCCCGUGCCCGGGUCUGUGAUGUCCGGAGGUAGAGCAGCGACUCUUUCACGGGUACACCCUUGCCGUGGGAAAGGA